UAGAUUCCCACCCAGUGUCUAUUCUACAGGACUUCACUCGGCCACUGAGUCCUGAUAGCCCUCAGUGG
rnacentral:tRNA from 1 species